UACGUAGGGUGCAAGCGUUGUCCGGAAUUAUUGGGCGUAAAGGGCUCGUAGGCGGUCUGUCACGUCGGGAGUGAAAACUCAGGGCUUAACCCUGAGCCUGCUUCCGAUACGGGCAGACUAGAGGUAUGCAGGGGAGAACGGAAUUCCUAGUGUAGCGGUGAAAUGCGCAGAUAUCAGGAGGAACACCGGUGGCGAAGGCGGUUCUCUGGGCAUUACCUGACGCUGAGGAGCGAAAGUGUGGGGAGCGAACAGG
rnacentral:rRNA from 1 species